AGCGUUUGACAUGGUAGGACGAUUUCUGGAGACAGAUCUCUUCCCUUACGGGACCUACACACAGGUGCUGCAUGGCUGUCGUCAGCUCGUGUCGUGAGAUGUUGGGUUAAGUCCCGCAACGAGCGCAACCCUCGCCUUUAGUUGCUACCAUUUAGUUGAGCACUCUAGAGGAACUGCCGGUGAUAAGCCGGAGGAAGGUGGGGAUGACGUCAAGUCCUCAUGGCCCUUACACGCUGGGCUACACACGUGCUACAAUGGCGGUGACAGUGGGCAGCAAACUCGCGAGAGUGAGCAAAUCCCAAAAAGCCGUCUCAGUUCGGAUUGUUCUCUGCAACUCGAGAGCAUGAAGGCGGAAUCGCUAGUAAUCGCGGAUCAGCAUGCCGCGGUGAAUACGUUCCCAGGCC
rnacentral:rRNA from 1 species